rnacentral:rRNA from 1 species
UUGAUCAUGGCUCAGAUUGAACGCUGGCGGCAGGCCUAACACAUGCAAGUCGAGCGGUAACAGGGGAAGCUUGCUUCUCGCUGAAGAGCGGCGGACGGGUGAGUAAUGUAUGGGGAUCUGCCCGAUAGAGGGGGAUAACCACUGGAAACGGUGGCUAAUACCGCAUAAUCUCUUAGGAGCAAAGCAGGGGAACUUCGGUCCUUGCGCUAUCGGAUGAACCCAUAUGGGAUUAGCUAGUAGGUGGGGUAAUGGCUCACCUAUGCGAC